rnacentral:rRNA from 1 species
GACGAACGCUGGCGGCGUGCUUAACACAUGCAAGUCGAACGGAAAGGCCCUGCUUUUGUGGGGUGCUCGAGUGGCGAACGGGUGAGUAACACGUGAGUAACCUGCCCUUGACUUUGGGAUAACUUCAGGAAACUGGGGCUAAUACCGGAUAGGAGCUCCUGCUGCAUGGUGGGGGUUGGAAAGUUUCGGCGGUUGGGGAUGGACUCGCGGCUUAUCAGCUUGUUGGUGGGGUAGUGGCUUACCAAGGCUUUGACGGGUAGCCGGCCUGAGAGGGUGACCGGCCACAUUGGGACUGAGAUACGGCCCAGACUCCUACGGGAGGCAGCAGUGGGGAAUAUUGCACAAUGGGCGGAAGCCUGAUGCAGCAACGCCGCGUGCGGGAUGACGGCCUUCGGGUUGUAAACCGCUUUCGCCUGUGACGAAGCGUGAGUGACGGUAAUGGGUAAAGAAGCACCGGCUAACUACGUGCCAGCAGCCGCGGUGAUACGUAGGGUGCGAGCGUUGUCCGGAUUUAUUGGGCGUAAAGGGCUCGUAGGUGGUUGAUCGCGUCGGAAGUGUAAUCUUGGGGCUUAACCCUGAGCGUGCUUUCGAUACGGGUUGACUUGAGGAAGGUAGGGGAGAAUGGAAUUCCUGGUGGAGCGGUGGAAUGCGCAGAUAUCAGGAGGAACACCAGUGGCGAAGGCGGUUCUCUGGGCCUUUCCUGACGCUGAGGAGCGAAAGCGUGGGGAGCGAACAGGCUUAGAUACCCUGGUAGUCCACGCUGUAAACGGUGGGUACUAGGUGUGGGAUCCAUUCCACGGGUUCCGUGCCGUAGCUAACGCUUUAAGUACCCCGCCUGGGGAGUACGGCCGCAAGGCUAAAACUCAAAGGAAUUGACGGGGCCCCGCACAAGCGGCGGAGCAUGCGGAUUAAUUCGAUGCAACGCGUAGAACCUUACCUGGGUUUGACAUGGAUCGGGAGUGCUCAGAGAUGGGUGUGCCUCUUUUGGGGUCGGUUCACAGGUGGUGCAUGGCUGUCGUCAGCUCGUGUCGUGAGAUGUUGGGUUAAGUCCCGCAACGAGCGCAACCCUUGUUCACUGUUGCCAGCACGUUAUGGUGGGGACUCAGUGGAGACCGCCGGGGUCAACUCGGAGGAAGGUGGGGAUGACGUCAAGUCAUCAUGCCCCUUAUGUCCAGGGCUUCACGCAUGCUACAAUGGCUGGUACAGAGAGUGGCGAGCCUGUGAGGGUGAGCGAAUCUCGGAAAGCCGGUCUCAGUUCGGAUUGGGGUCUGCAACUCGACCUCAUGAAGUCGGAGUCGCUAGUAAUCGCAGAUCAGCAACGCUGCGGUGAAUACGUUCCCGGG